rnacentral:rRNA from 1 species
UUUAUUGGAGAGUUUGAUCCUGGCUCAGGAUGAACGCUGGCGGCGUGCCUAAUACAUGCAAGUCGAGCGAACGGAUUAAGAGCUUGCUCUUAAGAAGUUAGCGGCGGACGGGUGAGUAACACGUGGGUAACCUGCCCAUAAGACUGGGAUAACUCCGGGAAACCGGGGCUAAUACCGGAUAACAUCUAGCACCGCAUGGUGCAAGAUUGAAAGGUGGCUUCGGCUGUCACUUAUGGAUGGACCCGCGUCGCAUUAGCUAGUUGGUGAGGUAACGGCUCACCAAGGCGACGAUGCGUAGCCGACCUGAGAGGGUGAUCGGCCACACUGGGACUGAGACACGGCCCAGACUCCUACGGGAGGCAGCAGUAGGGAAUCUUCCGCAAUGGACGAAAGUCUGACGGAGCAACGCCGCGUGAGCGAUGAAGGCCUUCGGGUCGUAAAGCUCUGUUGUUAGGGAAGAACAAGUGUGAGUUGAAUAAGCUCAUGCCUUGACGGUACCUAACCAGAAAGCCACGGCUAACUACGUGCCAGCAGCCGCGGUAAUACGUAGGUGGCAAGCGUUAUCCGGAAUUAUUGGGCGUAAAGCGCGCGCAGGCGGUUUCUUAAGUCUGAUGUGAAAGCCCACGGCUCAACCGUGGAGGGU